UAGGGAGACCUAUUUACUCUUAGACUGAACCAAUACAGAAUUAGGUCAGGAGUAAGUCAUCCCAAGGUCGUUCGGAGUUUAUUGGAAAGCUUUCAAACUAAGUCAGGUUCUGAAUCAAGCUAUAGCAAGAGCAAACAAAAAGGGCCAUUAGCUCAGUUGGUUAGAGCGCACCCCUGAUAAGGGUGAGGUCACUGGUUCGUGUCCAGUAUGGCCCACUUGAGUGAAAGGGAAAAGGAAAAAGGGAAAAUGAAAAGCUCAGAAAGAGACUUCACUUUUUACUUUUUACUUCUAACUUUUUACUUGACACUCUGGGGAUAUAGCUCAGUUGGUAGAGCGCCUGCUUUGCACGCAGGAAGUCCGGAGUUCGAAUCUCCUUAUCUCCACCAAAUUACUCAGACCGACAAAAUCGAGAGCAAGAGUUUAGCAACUCAUCUAGUUAGGUAACCAUUAAGUAAGGUGUAAGAACUAGAGAGACUGCUAAAUUCUAGCGAGAGCGAGAAUUUAGUAAGAACCUUGAAAACUGCAUAGUAAAGAAGUAACGAAGAAAGCAAGUAGAACCGAAGUAGAGAUACAGAGGUCAAGCUACAAAGGGCUUACGGU
rnacentral:tRNA from 1 species